GGCAAGAUGGCCGAGUUGGUCUAAGGCGGUAGACUCAAGAGCCUAGUGUUCUUCUUUGGAGCAAAUCCAAGGUUAGGUUUCUACUCUCGAAAGAGGCGCGAGUUCGAAUCUCGCUCUUGUCA
rfam:Aspergillus zonatus CBS 506.65 unplaced genomic scaffold ASPZOscaffold_4, whole genome shotgun sequence.